CAUGCCCUACCGAAGGAGCUACCCGGGAAAGGAAAGUCUUUCGGUUCCGGGGGGUUAGUAAGGUUGCCAAGCUGGAAACUUAAAGAAAUUGACGGAAGGGCACCACAAGGCGUGGAGCUUGCGGCUUUAAUUUUGACUCAACACGGGAAAACUCACCCGGUCCGGACACUAUUAGGACUGACAGAUUGAAAGCUCUUUCUCGAUUUGGUGGUUGGUGGUGCAUGGCCGUUCUUAGUUGGUGGAGUGAUUUGUCUGGUUUAUUCCGAUAACGAGCGAGACUCUAGCCUGCUAAAUAGUCGACGAAUCUUCGGGUUCGUAUAACUUCUUAGAGGGAUAAGCGGUGUUUAGCCGCACGAGAUUGAGCGAUAACAGGUCUGUGAUGCCCUUAGAUGUCCGGGGCUGCACGCGUGCUACACUGGUGGAGUCAGCGGGUUUUUCCUAUGCCGAAAGGUAUCGGUAAACCGUUGAACUUCUUCCAUGUCCGGGAUAGGGUAUUGUAAUUAUUACCCUUAAACGAGGAAUGCCUAGUAAGUGUGAGUCAUCAGCUCACGUUGAUUACGUCCCUGCCCUUUGUACACACCGCCCGUCGCUAUCCGGGACUGAACUGAUUCGAGAAGAGUGGGGACUGUGGCUGCGAGGUUUUACCACUUCGCAGUUGCGGAAACCAUUUUUAUCGCAUUGGUUUGAACCGGGUAAAAGUCGUAACAAGGUAGCUGUAGGUGAACCUGCAGCUGGAUCAUCG
rnacentral:ncRNA from 1 species